rnacentral:snRNA from 1 species
UCUUUAUGUAAUCUGGUCUUCGG